rnacentral:rRNA from 1 species
GACGAACGCUGGCGGCGUGCUUAACACAUGCAAGUCGAACGGAAAGGCCUGCUUUCCCUUGUGGAUUGCGGGUACUCGAGUGGCGAACGGGUGAGUAACACGUGAGUGAUCUGCCCCCAACUUGGGUAUAAGCCUGGGAAACUGGGUCUAAUUCCCGAUAGGACUGCAGGGUGGUGCAUGUGGUGGAACACGAUUUUCUAGUGGUUGGGGAUGAGCUCGCGGCCUAUCAGCUUGUUGGUUGGGUAAUGUCCUACCAAGGCGGCGACGGGGAGCCGGCCUGAGAGGGUGGACGGCCACAUUGGGACUGAGACACGGCCCCGACUCGUACGUGAGGAAGCAGUGGGGAAUAAUGCACAAUGGGAGGAAGCCUGAUGCAGCGACGCCGCGUGGGGGAUGACGGACUUCGGGUUGUAAACUCCUUUCGACCGCGAGGAAGCCACCUGGUUGGAAGGGUGGUGACGGUAGUGGUAGAAGAAGCACCGGCUAACUACGUG